rnacentral:tRNA from 1 species
AGCCCUAUAGUUCAACGGAUAGAACAAAAGUUUCCUAAACUUUAGAUCUGAGUUCGAUUCCUAGUAGGGCUAC